rnacentral:lncRNA from 1 species
UCACCGGGAAAAUGAUAGGCCAUUCUCUAUCUCUUAUUAUCACAUCAUAAUACCGAUAUUUUCUCUUUGUCAUCUUGAUAGAAAUCCUUAGUAGAUGGCGUACAUGUCGUUAGUAAUAUUACAGAAAGCUGUUGACUUUGUUUAAGCGGUUUUGACAUUUUAUGUAUGUCACAUGUCACACAGUCCUUUUGCGUUUAUUGUCUUAUUUGUGCUUAUUAUCUAUUUUUGCGUUGUAUUUUUUACGAAUAAUUUUCGAGAAUAAUUAUUGUAAAAAUGUUUUGCAUUGUGUGUGGAUGUAGCGAAGAUGAAGUUGGAAAAUUAUUUUGUUUUCCCAAGAAUAAGGACAGACAAAAACGGCCAACCCAACCCAACCUGUGAGGGUCAUCCCGGAGAAGACGAGGACAGGGGUUUUUAGUGUAAUUAUAUUGUAAUUUAAAUAUAAAAUUUUAAAUCGCCAAUGGAUUUCUCUUUAUUUUGCAUUGAAAUUAUAAAAUUAUAACUUUUUGAUUUGAGGUGCUUUUUAUUGGUCUAUUAAGCUGUAAUUAUUUUGGCUUACGCAAGCUAAAUAUAGCUUAAUAGAUCCACAAAAAGCACAUUAGAUCAAAAAUAUUUCUGUAUUCAAAUUUUAAAUUAAAUAAAAGAUUUGAAUUUGG